rnacentral:rRNA from 1 species
CAGCAGCCGCGGUAAUACGAAGGGUGCAAGCGUUACUCGGAAUUACUGGGCGUAAAGCGUGCGUAGGUGGUGGUUUAAGUCCGUUGUGAAAGCCCUGGGCUCAACCUGGGAAUUGCAGUGGAUACUGGGUCACUAGAGUGUGGUAGAGGAUGGUGGAAUUCCCGGUGUAGCGGUGAAAUGCGUAGAGAUCGGGAGGAACAUCAGUGGCGAAGGCGGCCAUCUGGGACAACACUGACGCUGAGGCACGAAAGCAUGGGGAGCAAACAGGAUUAGAUACCCCGGUAGUCCCUGUCUCUUAUAC